rnacentral:rRNA from 1 species
GACGAACGCUGGCGGCGUGCUUAACACAUGCAAGUCGAACGGAAAGUCCUUGCUUUUGUGGGGUGCGCGAGUGGCGAACGGGUGAGUAACACGUGGGUAACCUGCCCUUGACUGUGGGAGAACUUCAGGAAACUGGGGCUAAUAGCGCAUAGGAGCUCCUGCUGCAUGGGGGGGGCUGGAGAGUGUCGGCGGUUGGGGAGGGACUCGCGGCUUAUCAGCUGGUUGGUGGGGUAGUGGCUGACCAGGGAGUUGACGGGUAGCCGGCCGGAGAGGGUGACCGGCAACAUUGGGACUGAGAUGCGGCCCAGACGCCUACGGGAGGCAGCAGUGGGGAAUAUUGCACAAUGGGGGGAAGCCGGAUGCAGCAACGACGCGGGCGGGAUGACGGCCUUCGGGGUGUAAACAGCUUUCGCCUGUGACGAAGAGGGAGUGACGGUAAUGGGUAAAGAAGCACCGGCUAACUACGUG